AUUGAACGCUGGCGGCAGGCCUAACACAUGCAAGUCGAGCGGGGUUUUCGGACCUAGCGGCGGACGGGUGAGUAAUGCGUAGGAAGCUACCCGAUAGAGGGGGAUACCAGUUGGAAACGACUGUUAAUACCGCAUAAUGUCUACGGACCAAAGUGUGGGACCUUCGGGCCACAUGCUAUCGGAUGCGCCUACGUGGGAUUAGCUAGUUGGUGAGGUAAUGGCUCACCAAGGCGACGAUCCCUAGCUGGUGUGGGGGGAUGAUAAGCCACACUGGAACUGAGACACGGUCCGGACUCCUACGGGAGGCAGCAGUGGGGAAUAUUGGACAAUGGGCGCAAGACUGAUCCAGCCAUGCCGCGUGUGUGAAGAAGGCCUUCGGGUUGUAAAGCACUUUCAGUAGGGAGGAAGCGUUGUGUGUUAAUAGUACACAGCGUUGACGUUACCUACAGAAGAAGCACCGGCUAACUCUGUGCCAGCCGCCGCAGUAAUAC
rnacentral:rRNA from 1 species